CAGCUCGUGUCGUGAGAUGUUGGGUUAAGUCCCGCAACGAGCGCAACCCUUAUUCUUUAAUUGCCAGCAUUCAGUUGGGCACUUUAAAGAGACUGCCGGUGUUAAACCGGAGAAGGUGGGAUGACGUCAAGUCCUCAUGGCCUUUAUGCUUAGGGCUACACACGUGCUACAAUGGGUGGUACAAAGAGAAGCCAACUCGCGAGAGCGCGCCAAUCUCAAAAAGCCAUCCUCAGUUCGGAUUGGAGUCUGCAACUCGACUCCAUGAAGUUGGAAUCGCUAGUAAUCGCGGAUCAGCAUGCCGCGGUGAAUACGUUCCCGGGCCUU
rnacentral:rRNA from 1 species